rnacentral:rRNA from 1 species
AGAGUUUGAUCCUGGCUCAGGACGAACGCUGGCGGCGUGCCUAACACAUGCAAGUCGAGCGAGAGACUUCGGUCUCUAGCGGCGGACGGGUGAGUAACACGUGGGUAACCUGCCUCAUAGUGGGGGAUAGCCUUCCGAAAGGAAGAUUAAUACCGCAUAAGAAGUAAGAGUCGCAUGACUUUAGCUUUAAAGGAGUAAUCCGCUAUGAGAUGGACCCGCGUCGCAUUAGCUAGUUGGUGAGGUAACGGCUCACCAAGGCGACGAUGCGUAGCCGACCUGAGAGGGUGAUCGGCCACAUUGGAACUGAGACACGGUCCAGACUCCUACGGGAGGCAGCAGUGGGGAAUAUUGCACAAUGGGCGAAAGCCUGAUGCAGCAACGCCGCGUGAGUGAUGAAGGUCUUCGGAUUGUAAAGCUCUGUCUUUGGGGACGAUAAUGACGGUACCCAAGGAGGAAGCCACGGCUAACUACGUGCCAGCAGCCGCGGUAAUACGUAGGUGGCAAGCGUUGUCCGGAUUUACUGGGCGUAAAGGAUGCGUAGGCGGAUUUUUAAGUGGGAUGUGAAAUACCCGAGCUCAACUUGGGUGCUGCAUUCCAGACUGGAAGUCUAGAGUGUGGGAGAGGAUAGUGGAAUUCCUAGUGUAGCGGUGAAAUGCGUAGAGAUUAGGAAGAACACCAGUGGCGAAGGCGACUAUCUGGACCAUAACUGACGCUGAGGCAUGAAAGCGUGGGGAGC